UGUGUCUUACUUUGCUAGAGGCGUCUAGUAAGAAGUUACUACAGCCAAGGCCAAAGAGGUUGCUGCGUGUGUUCUCCUUGAGGAUUUUGAUGGAUUCCUGUCUCACAUUUAGUUCUUUCAUCCAUUUUGAGUUUAUUUUUGUGUUA